rnacentral:rRNA from 1 species
CCUACGGGUGGCAGCAGUAGGGAAUCUUUCACAAUGAGCGAAAGCCUGAUGGAGCAACGCCGCGUGCAGGAUGAAGGCCUUCGGGUUGUAAACUGCUUUUAUAAGCGAGAAAUAUGAUGGUAACUUAUGAAUAAGGAUCGGCUAACUACGUGCCAGCAGCCGCGGUCAUACGUAGGAUCCGAGCAUUAUCCGGAGUGACUGGGUGUAAAGAGUUGCGUAGGUGGGAUAAUAAGUAGCUAGUGAAAUCUGGUGGCUCAACCAUUCAGACUAUUAGCUAAACUGUUAAGCUCGAGACCGUUAGGGGUAACUGGAAUUUCUAGUGUAGGAGUGAAAUCCGUAGAUAUUAGAAGGAACACCAAUAGCGUAGGCAGGUUGCUGGGACGGUUCUGACACUAAGGCACGAAAGCGUAGGGAGCAAACGGGAUUAGAUACCCCAGUAGUC